GACGAACGCUGGCGGCGUGCUUAACACAUGCAAGUCGAACGGAAAGGCCCUGCUUUUGUGGGGUGCUCGAGUGGCGAACGGGUGAGUAACACGUGAGUAACCUGCCCUUGACUUUGGGAUAACUUCAGGAAACUGGGGCUAAUACCGGAUAGGAGCUCCUGCUGCACGGUGGGGGUUGGAAAGUUUCGGCGGUUCGGGCUAGACUCGCUGCUUACCAGCUUGUUUGUGGAGUAGUUGCUUACGAAGGCUGUGACGGGUAGCCGGCCUGAGAGGGUGACCGGCCACAUUGCGACUGAGAGACGCAGCAGAAUCGAAUGGGACGCAGUAGGCGAGAAUAUGGCAGAAUGGCCCGAAGUGUGAUGCAGCAACGCCGCGUGCGGGAUGCCCGGCUUCGGGGGGUAAACAGCUGUCGACGGAGACGAAGCGUGAGUGACGGUAACGGGUAAAGAAGCAACGGCUAACUACGUG
rnacentral:rRNA from 1 species